rnacentral:lncRNA from 1 species
GUAUUUAAAUGAGUAGUUAUUGUUGCAAACUCCAUUAGAAAUUUUAAUUGAGAUUAGUUUUGGAAUAAGGGAAAGGGGGAUGUGAUUAAAAAAAUUGGGAUAAAUUUUUCUCAUUUGAAAUUUCAUAAAUAAAAAAGAAAAUUUCUUCAAACAUUUUUUUGAGAGGAUUAAUAUUCAACAGCAUAGUAAAUUGCUCUAAGAGAAAACAAAAAUUUUAAGUUCAUUAGAACACAUUCAUUCUGUGUCAGAAACCUAUGCUGUGUCAACUAUUUAAUCACAAUCCAAAUUUAGAGCUGAAUCCAGCUUGAAUGUUGUGUCCAUACUUGCCCCAACCGUUCAGGGUUCAACCUCUGCGGUCGUAUAAAGCUACGCCCUGCGGAGCAUCUGGUUCUAGUUUAUUAUAAUUUACAUGACAAUAUUAUUGGUUUCCCACAUAUAGACUAAUGAAGAUCCCUUUUGUGUUUAUGCUGGUUUGAGCUUUACAGUAAAUGUUACAAGCAAAAUAUUAUAAUUGUCAGUUUAAGACAAUGAUAUUUUAGUGCAAACAGGUUAUCUUCAUAACUGUUAUUAUGUAUUUUAAAGUGUUUUCUUGAACUUGUCAGUUUUUGCUAGUACAUAUAAUGUGUUUUAGGAUAUUUUUUAUUCUCUCUGCAAGGAAAGCAAUUCUAAUAUAUUGAGGAAUGAGAAUUAAUCAUUCAAUUUGUUUAUAUAAUGAGCAACAUCAGAUAGAAGUCAACCUUAUGCAAGUGCCCUAUGUAUACAUAUACAUAUGUGAUACUUUGAUUUGCUUUGGAACAUUAAAAUACGAAAUAAAAGGUGAAUGUUGUUAUAUUUUGUAGGGUUUUUAUGUCAACUCAAUUUUCAAACAAUUUCAAAAUUUCCGUACAGAUUUUUUUCAAUCCACAAAAUAAUUAAACAGAUGUAUGAAUAUUCAUGUGCAUAAUGUUGAUUUCUAUCCUAUGCUGCUCAAUUGUUGUUAAAGGGACUUAUUUAAGCACUUGUAUUAAAUUUAUCCUGUUUAUGAGAUAUGAUACAAAGUAUCAUUUUUUAGCUCACCUGGCCCAAAGGGCCAAGUGAGCUUUUCUCAUCACUUGGCGUCCGGCGUCCGUCGUCGUCGUCCGUCGUCGUCGUCCUGCGUCCGGCGUUAACUUUUACAAAAAUCUUCUCCUCUGAAACUACUAAGCCAAAUUUAACCAAACUUGGCCACAAUCAUCAUUGGGGUAUCUAGUUUAAAAAUUGUGUCCGGUGACCCCGCCAACUAACCAAGAUGGCCGCCAUGGCUAUAAAUAGAACAUAGGGGUAAAAUGCAGUUUUUGGCUUAUAACUCAAAAACCAAAGCAUUUAGGGCAAAUCUGACAUGGUGUAAUAUUGUUAAUCAGGUUAAGAUCUAUCUGCCCUGAAAUUUUCAGAUGAAUCUGACAUUCCGUUGUUAGGUUGCUGCCCCUGAAUUGGUAAUUUUAAGGAAAUUUUGUUGUUUUUGGUUAUUAUCUUGAAUAUUAUUUCAGAUAGAGAUAAACUGUAAAAAGCAAUAAUGUUCAGCAAAGUAAGAUCUACAAAUAAGUCAACAUGACCAAAAUGAUCAGUUGACCACUUUAGGAGUUAUUGCCCUUUAUAGUCAAUUUUUAACCAUUUUUCGUAAAUCUUAGUAAUCUUUUAGAAAAAUCUUCUCCUCUGAAACUGCUGGGCCAAAUUAUUUGAAACUUGGCCACAAUCAUCAUUGGGGUAUAUAGUUUAAAAAUUGUGUCCGGUGACCCCGCCAACUAACCAAGAUGACCGCCAUGGCUAUAAAUAGAACAUAGGGGUAAAAUGCAGUUUUUUGGCUUAUAACUCAAAAACCAAAGCAUUUAGAGCAAAUCUGACAUUGGGUAAAAUUGUUAAUCAGGUGAAGAUCUAUCUGCCCUGAAAUUUUCAGAUGAAUUGGACAACCUGUUUUUGGGUUGCGGCCCCUGAAUUAGUAAUUUUAAGGAAAUUUUGCUGUUUUUGGUUAUUAUAUUGAAUAUUAUUAUAGAUAUAGGUAAACUGUAAACAGCAAUAAUGUUCAGCAAGGUCAGAUUUACAAAUAAGUCAACAUGACCAAAAUGGUCAGUUGACCUCUUUAGGAGUUAUUGCCCUUUUAAAGUCAAUUUUUAACCAUUUUUCGUAAAUUUUAUAUAUCUUUUACUAAAAUCUUCUUCUCUGAAAUGCUGUGCCAAAUUGAUCCAAACUUGGCCACAAUCAUCUUUGGGGUUUCUUGUUUAAAAAAUGUGUCCGGUGACCUGGCCAUCAAACCAAGAUGGCCGCCACGGCUAAAAAUAGAACAUAGGGGUAAAAUGCAGUUUUUGGCUUAUAACUCAAAAACCAAAUAAUUUAGAGAAAAUCUGACAUGAAGUAAAAUUGUUAAUCAGGUAAGAUCUAUCUGCCCUGAAAUUUUCAGAUGAAUUGGAC